GGCAUACCUUGAGUCUGUGUAAUUAUUAACAAGCUUCCUAUCAGACAUUUUACAUGUUACCAUAAGGGCUAUUAGUUCAGCCUCUUGUGCAGACUUGGAUGAUGGGAAUGAAGAUGCUUGGAGUAUUUGGUCUUCUGUGGUGACAGCAAAUCCGGUAUGAUAUUGUCCAUGUGUGUCUGCAAAUCUAGAGCCAUCCACAAACAGGGUAAAGUCAGGAUCUGGUAGAGCAGCCUUGUGCACUGUUGGGAGAUGGGUUGUCUCCAUUUUCAUCUGUUCAAAACAAUCAUGAGGGGC